rnacentral:rRNA from 1 species
AAUCAACGCUGGCGGCGUGCCUAACACAUGCAAGUCGAACGCGAAAACCCCGCAAGGGGUGAGUAGAGUGGCAAACGGGUGAGUAACACGUGGGUGACCUGCCUUCGAGUGGGGGAUAACGUCCCGAAAGGGACGCUAAUACCGCAUAACAUCCUGCCUUUUAAGAGGUGGACAUCAAAGCUGGGGAUCGCAAGACCUAGCGCUGGAAGAGGGGCCCGCGCCUGAUUAGCUAGUUGGGGGGUAAUGGCUCACCAAGGCAACGAUCAGUAUCCGGCCUGAGAGGGCGGACGGACACACUGGGACUGAGACACGGCCCAGACUCCUACGGGAGGCAGCAGUGGGGAAUUGUUCGCAAUGGGCGCAAGCCUGACGACGCAACGCCGCGUGGAGGAUGAAGACCU